AUUUAAAUUAACAACAUCGAGAAUGCCUCAUCUUGUCAGAUCUUGGAAACUAAGCAGGAGUGAGUCUGGUUAGUACUGGGAUGGGAGAACACCGGUUACCAGUGUAAGGC
rnacentral:rRNA from 1 species